rnacentral:lncRNA from 10 species
AAGAGGUCUCUUCCAUGCAGACCCAUCACCGUGUCCACAGAGAGAACCCAUGGGCAGUGUUCUGAGAUUGCAGGGUGGCAUCUUCCAGCACAUAGAGACAAAAAAUGUUUGCCCAACAAAUGUUUGCUCUAUGAUGCCCAGGCUCGUCUGGAACUCCUGGGCUCAAGUGAUCCUCCCACCCUGGCCUUCAGAGUAGCUAUGACUACAGGUGCACACCACCACACCUGGCCACACAUGUCUUUGAAGAACAAUCUCUAUGCACAUAAGUAUUUCUUAAGGUCACAUUCCUAGAAAUGCAAUUGGCGUGUCAAAAGAUAUGUGCACUUUUUUAAGUUUUAUUGUUUCACAGUUUAUCCAUGUUGUAGCAUUUAUUGGUACUUUGUUCCUUUUUAUGGCUGAAGAAUAUUCUACUGUGUGGCCAUACCACAUUUGCUUGUCCAUUUAUCAAUUCUUGGACCUUUGGGGUUCUUCCACACUUUAUUAUGAAUAAUCUUGCUAUAAACAUUUGUGCGCAAGACUCUGUGUGUGGUUGUAUGUUUUCAUUUCUCUUGGGUAAAUACUUAGGAGCGGAAUUGCUGGGUCAUAUGAUAAAUCUGUUUAACUCCUUAAGAAACUGUCAAACUUUUCCAAAGUACCUAUGCCAUUACAUUUUCACCAGCAAUAAAACAAGGGAUUCAAGUUUUCCACAUCCUAGUCAACACUUGUAUUUGUAUAUCGUUUUUGUUAUAUCCAUUCUAGAGCAUGUGAAAAUAUGUUUUUAAAUUGGCUUUACUAAUUUGCACUUCCCCUGAUGUUGUAUAUAUAAUACAUGCUUCUCUACAUCCUCACCAACCAUAGCUAUUAUCAGUCUUUUAAAUAUUUGCCUUGUGAAUAUUUGUAUAAAGUUACUUCGUUGUUGGUUUAGUUUGCAUUUUCCUGAUAGUAGUGAGUGAGCAUCUCUUCAUAUGUUGAUCGACAAUUUGUAUUCCAUCUUCUGUGAAUUACCUGUUCAUAUAUAUAUAUAUUUUUACUGGAUUAACAUUUACAGACAUUCUGUAUGUAAUCCAGGUAUUGCUGUAUAUGUAAUAUGCCUUAGUCUGUGACACUUAACCUUUCUUACAUCUUUCUUGUACAAAAGCAUUUAAUUUUCACUAGUUAAAUCUGUCAGUUUUCUUCAUUAUAGAUUUUGGGCUAAAUGUUAUGCUUAGGAAAGCCUCCUCCAACACUAGGAUUAUAGAAAUAUUCCCUUAUAAUUUCUUCUAAUAAUUCUACAGUUUUAUUUUUAUGCUGAACACUAAUAAACUUGGAAAUGAUUCUUAUGUAGAGGAAUAUAUAUUUGUUUCGUUCCAGUUGCCCCAAAACUUUUCACUGAAUUGUUUACCCUUUCCUAACUGAUCUGAAAUAAAAUCCCACCUCAAUCAUUGUAAAUUUUGACACGCAAGUCAGUCAUUUUCUGGACUUUUUAUGCCACUCCAUUGAACAAUUUGUCUUCUCUGAGACAAUAUUGGGCCAGUUAAAUUACUGUUGCUUGAAGGUGUGUUUCGGUAUCUGGUCUGGUAAAUUCCCUUUCAUAACUCUUAUCUGUAAAGAAAAUAUCGCAACUAAUCUUUCUAAGUGUAAUGGAAAUAUUUCUGGUUUAAUAAGAUCUCAUAAGAAAAAUAAGGUAGAACCACAUAAAGGGUUGAAAUGGAAAAACAAGGAUGAGUUCACAUUCUUUAGCUCUGUCAUUACUACAGGUGCAAGGACACUUUUGUCCACUAGCAACUCUCUUGUGCACCUCUAGUGCCAGAUCAUCUCUGUUUCUACUCUUCAUCAAAAAAGAAACCAGGACUUCUUGAAAGGCACACAGUCCUAUGUCUUGCGUCAGAAAAAAAAAAAAAAAAAAAAAUUAGGAUGGCCCCAAACAUCCUAUUGUUGUAACAAAGUAAGGAUGCUGCCAUAACUGUCAAAAGCAAUAUUUUACUUUUAAAAAAACCAAAACCCCACAAAAACAAAAGAAUAAGCUUGAAGGACUUCCACCAGUCAAGCUGUAAUAUUCUGAGCAUCCAAAAAAGGAGAUGAAAAUUAUAAGGUGAGUCUAUAAAGGGACACACAUUCAUAGAGACUCCAAGAGAAAAAGGAGUUGUAAUACAAAAUUAAGAUGAUUAUAGGAUAUAGCUAAGGGACUAUUCAUAUAUGUGUGGACAUUUUAUAUGUUGUAUGAAGAAUAUACAUUUUCAUAAACCAUAGACAUGUGUUUGUUUCUAGCUAUCCUUAUAGGAAUAAACAAAAUCAUAAGAUAAACUAGAAAAACAUAGUACAAACAGACAA